ACUAAUUUCUCACAUUCUUUCAUCAUUCAGUAUUUUACAGCCAAAAUUCACCCCCAAACCACCAGUUCAGAGGAGACGAACUCUUGUCUUGCCUAAAAGGUAGAACAAGGACACAAGGUGUUGGUUCAUGCAGCAGCAGGCGGGGUUGGUUCUGUGUUUUGCCAGUGGUCAAAUAUGCUUGGUGCCACUGUCAUUGGAACUGUAUCAACCAAAUAGAAGGCUUUGCAAGCAAAUGAAGAUGGAUGUCAUCAUGUUAUUAUCUACAAAGAAGAGGAUAUUAUUACCCGUGUUGCUGAGAUGGUGAAGGAGUUGAUGUUGUGUUCGAUUCUGUGGGAAAAGACACCUUUCAGGUGCUGAAAUGGGAGGAGGUUGAAAUUGGGGAUCCGAAAGGAUAGAUAAGAGUGAAGAACAAGGCUAUCUGUAGGUGUUAAUUUCAUA